rnacentral:lncRNA from 1 species
GCAGCCCCCCGCGGUUCCCCCCGGACCCCUGAGCGCGGCGCACGCCCCACUCCCUGCCCUCACCUUCGCUCCCGGAUCGGGAAAAGAGGAGGCGGGACCAACGCGCGGCUGACAGCCCCCUCAACCAAUCGCAGCGCCUUCUCCCCCCUUCUCUUAUUCCCUUAACCCCGCCUCCCUCCGUCUGAUUGGUUCCUCCCUAGCGAGCCGCGCGCGCCACCGUUUGAAGCGGGCGAGGCGUUGUUGCCAUGGAGACGCGGCCUGGGCGCCGCUCCCGGAGCCUCCGCGCCCGCUGAGGGGACCGGGGGCCGGGGGAGGGGGGGUGGCGGUGCCCGGCCCGGCGCUGCAGGGAGGAGAUCAACAGGGAACCAAAGGCGGAAGAACCUUGUACGCUUGGACAGAAGGGCUGGGUUCGCAAGGAGGUGAGUGCCAUCCAGCCAGGCAUGCUGCCCCACGCUCAGCCCUGCCCAGGCCACGCAGUGUGCCCGCCGUCACUCUAUGCACGCUGAUAACGGUUCUCAUUCUGCUUAUGGAAAAUUGGGAGCAACAACAUCGGACCUGUCGUUUUCCAGUCUUCAUCAUGAGGGUGAUGAAGGGAGUGGAGCAUCUCCUUUACGAGGAAAGGCUGAGGGAGCUGGGUCUCAUUAGCUUGGAGAAGAGGAGACUGAGGGGUGACCUUACUAAUGCUUAUAAAUAUGUAAAGGGCAAGUGUCAGGAGCAUGGAGCCAGGCUCUUCUCUGUGACAUCCAAUGAUAGUGCAAGGGGCAAUGGGUGCAAGCUGGAACGCAGGAGGUUCCACUUAAAUACGAGACAAAACUUUUUUAUGGUGACAGUGACAGAGCACUAGAACAGCCUGCCCAGGGGGACUGUGAAGUCUCCUUCUCUGAAGACAUUCAAAACCCUCCUGGACGCGUUCCUGCGUGACAUGAUUUAGGCGUUCCUGCUCUGGCAGGGGGAUUGGACUAGGGGAUCUUUCAAGGUCCCUUCCAAUCCCUAACAUUCUGUGAUUCUGUAAUCGUAGCUAUAGUAAGCAACUCGGGUAUGUUAGGAGCAAAGAAAGAAGUGUUGGUGCUGGGAGAAGGCCUGCAUCCUGGUCCAACUAUAAAAUAGCUGUCAGUUAACAAUGAAAAUGUUCCCUCCUUUCCAACUAUUAUCUUUUAUUAUACAGAAACUAUAGGUGGUUUUCUGUGGGUAUUUUUCAGCUUUCUUCCACAUAUUUUCAAAACAGACUGCUACAACAUUUGUUCCAACUAAUGUCAGAACAUUUAUUACCUCUUUGUGUAUGUGUUCAGGGGCUUCCGUAGCAUGAUCCUGCGAUCUGAUGAAUGGAUCUGCGGCAGUGAUCUGUAAAUAUUUGAAUUGGAGCUUCGUAGCUCCCUAUCUACUUCAUUAGACUAAAAUUACGAACUUGUUUUGCAGUAGAGAUUAUCUCUUACUGCGGAGCUUGUGCUUAUAGAAGUGCAACCACACCGUGGCUGUUUCUUCACAGGAAUGCCUUAGUGUCCAAGGGGUGGGAUCAGAAUGAUUAAAGGUAAAGCAUUUG